UACGGGGGGGGCAAGCGUUGUUCGGAAUUACUGGGCGUAAAGGGCUCGUAGGUGGCCAACUAAGUCAGACGUGAAAUCCCUCGGCUUAACCGGGGAACUGCGUCUGAUACUGGAUGGCUUGAGAUUGGGAGAGGGAUGCGGAAUUCUAGGUGUAGCGGUGAAAUGCGUAGAUAUCUGGAGGAACACCGGUGGCGAAGGCGGCAUCCUGGACCAACACUGACGCUGAGGAGCGAAAGCCAGGGGAGCAAACGGG
rnacentral:rRNA from 1 species